rnacentral:rRNA from 1 species
ACGGAAGGCAGCAGUGGGGAAUAUUGCACAAUGGGCGCAAGCCUGAUGCAGCAACGCCGCGUGAGGGAAGACGGUCUUCGGAUUGUAAACCUUUGUCUUUGGUGAAGAAGAAAGUGACGGUAGCCAAGGAGGAAGCCACGGCUAACUACGUGCCAGCAGCCGCGGUAAUACGUAGGUGGCAAGCGUUGUCCGGAUUUACUGGGUGUAAAGGGAGCGCAGGCGGGACUGCAAGUUGGAUGUGAAAUGUCGAGGCUUAACCUCGGAACUGCAUCCAAAACUGUAGUUCUUGAGUGGAGUAGAGGCAAGCGGAAUUCCGAGUGUAGCGGUGAAAUGCGUAGAUAUUCGGAGGAGCACCAGUGGCGAAGGCGGCUUGCUGGGCUCUAACUGACGCUGAGGCUCGAAAGUGUGGGGAGCAAACAGGAUUAGAUACCCUGGUA